AUGAACGCUGGCGGCGUGCCUAAUACAUGCAAGUCGAGCGAACAGACGAGGAGCUUGCUCCUCUGACGUUAGCGGCGGACGGGUGAGUAACACGUGGAUAACCUACCUAUGAGACUGGGAUAACUUCGGGAAACCGGAGCUAAUACCGGAUAAUAUAUUGAACCGCAUGGUUCAAUAGUGAAAGACGGUUUUGCUGUCACUUAUAGAUGGAUCCGCGCCGCAUUAGCUAGUUGGUAAGGUAACGGCUUACCAAGGCAACGAUGCGUAGCCGACCUGAGAGGGUGAUCGGCCACACUGGAACUGAGACACGGUCCAGACUCCUACGGGAGGCAGCAGUAGGGAAUCUUCCGCAAUGGGCGAAAGCCUGACGGAGCAACGCCGCGUGAGUGAUGAAGGUCUUCGGAUCGUAAAACUCUGUUAUUAGGGAAGAACAAAUGUGUAAGUAACUAUGCACGUCUUGACGGUACCUAAUCAGAAAGCCACGGCUAACUACGUG
rnacentral:rRNA from 1 species